rfam:Oryza barthii chromosome 2, whole genome shotgun sequence.
UAUAAGUGCAACCAUAAGUUUCCACGUCCAACUUUGAUCGUUCAUCUUAUUUAAAAAAAUUUUAUAAUUAAUAUUUUUAUUGUUAUGAGAUGAUAAAACAUGGAUAGUACUUUACUCGUGACUUAUGUUUUUAAUUUUUUUUCAAAAAAUUUUCAAAUAAGACGGACGGUCAAAAUUGGGCGCGAAAAAUUAUGGCUGCACUUAUA